AAAACUACCUACCCAAAUGAUGCAUUAAAGGUUGAGAAGUACUUCGCAUGCCCCUUUUGGAAGUGCAAGCUCGACAAGAAGCUAGAGGUGGCGGCGGCCGUGAGAUGCAAAUGAAAGCUACAAUGGGGGAAAAGCUUGCUGAAUUGAAGCCGAAGAAGAAUGUUGAGAUUGUUGUUGAGCAUGAUGAAUAGGACGUUGAGAGGGAAUUCAUAAAGAACUCAAGGAUAAUUACAUAGCAAUGUUGACUCGAAAAAUGUAGGAUUUGCAAAGAGGGAUGAUUUUGUGAAUGAUAUGACCAGAAAUUUAUAGGCUCCGUUGGGGGCUCCCUAUACUCCGCGGCAAUCUGCAUUGCGCGACGCAGUGUAAGGAGCCCCUAACAGUCGGUCCGUCGAUGGGCUUCGUGUCAACUUCUGUUGUGUUGUAGUGUCCCGUAUGAAGUUUGCUAAUGGCACUAUCAUGUUCUUGUGCGUCUCUAAUGAGGCCAUCACA
rnacentral:lncRNA from 1 species